UAAAUGUAAUUUACAAGGCUAAAAAGUCACGAAAUGUCGUCGUUUCUAACCUGAGAUGCGAUGCGUAUGUUUAUAAGCAUCACAAUUGAAUAAUACUUUAAUCGUCAACAUCAAUAUUAUGUAUGUACCUUCAUAAAUAUCAUCUCCCAAUCAGAAAACGACGACGUCAUUCAUCUUACAAUUAAAGCUACAGCAAAUAAUAAAAAUAUAGUAAUAAAAAUGAUUUAUAUUCAUAUUCAACUGCUGCACUCGCGAUGUUUACACUUGAACUCACCAUGUGUCCAUUAAAACGCUCAUAAAAAUUGCUUUCGAUGAACGUAUAAAUUGCAAUGUAAACACGAGCAUCGUUUAUUAGUAUUUUGAACGUGUUUUGAACCAGGGGUAAACCACUUGUCAAAGUUUUGACUUAAAAUGUAUUCAAAUUUAAAAAAAUAAAAAAAUGAAAAAAACGGGAACAUUUUUACUAUGACAUAUUUGGUGGUGCCAAGCAGUGUCAAGGUUUCUGAGGUAGAACAAAUCAAGACUCAAUGCAAGAUUUUUAAAAUUCAUACAAUAAAAAUAUAUUCUAUUGAGAAGGAUUGAUUCCCAAAACAGGCAUUUAACAAUGAUGUCAUUCAAAACCACAACAGAAAAUUAAACAUCACUUACAAUAAUAUGUUUCUGUGACCGUGGGGUUUUUUGUUUUAUCAUUUAGUCAUUUUUAACCCAACUUGAUAACCAAAUUCUGUGGAAGUUGUCGGUUAAAUAAUUCGAAGAAUUUGACGUUUUAUGUACAACUAAAUCUACGAGUAUAUAGGCAUCAUCGUACAGAAUAAAACCGAUUAAACUUGACACAUAUUUGAACAUUCCACUUUGUGAUUUAUGCGAAGUAAACAAUGCAAUGAAAAAUGGGGAGUGUGGCUGUGGGGCAGGCAGACAAGCCUGCCUAUACACUAAAUGAGAAUGACGAUGGCAGUCGAAACGAAAACAAGAAGGAAAAAAAGUGAGAAUAUGUCAGACACGAUAAAAGUCUAUAAAUAGAUUUGAGAGGAAACAUUGAAAGAUAGUCUUGCCGAUUUUGGAAGAAUAUUUAACACACAAUUAAGUGAUUUAACACAGAAAAAAAAACAAAAAGAAGGAACAUUAUCUUAAAUGCAAGGAAACGACGAUAGAGAAAGUGACAGGCAUUGUCUUUUCACAAUGGAAAUUCCUGAGACAAAAGUACAAAUUCGAAAUUAAACUGUCAACACAAUAUUCAUCUUGAAAAAUGUUAA